rnacentral:tRNA from 2 species
GGUUUUACUGGGAAAUAUGAAUUUUGAAAAUUUAUAAGAAGUGUUCAAUUCACUUAAGAACUU